CCCUUAGAUGUUCUGGGCCGCACGCGCGCUACACUGAUGCAUUCAACGAGUUUCUUCCUGGUCCGAGAGGAAUGGGUAACCUUUUGAAAGUGCAUCGUGAUAGGGAUAGACUAUUGCAAUUAUUGGUCUUCAACGAGGAAUUCCUAGUAGACGUAGUUCAUCAGACUGCAUCGAUUACGUCCCUGCCCUUUGUACACACCGCCCGUCGCUCCUACCGAUUGAAUGCUCAGGUGAGCCAUUCGGACUUUCAUCAUGCUGGUUUCCAGUUUUGAUGGAGGAAAGUCUUGCGAACCUUAUCAUUUAGAGGAAGGAGAAGUCGUAACA
rnacentral:rRNA from 1 species